rnacentral:pre_miRNA from 12 species
GAUUCACUUCAAGUUAUGGUUUGGCUUGAACGGGAGAAGCUGUAACGAUUAUGUUUUAUUACCAUCAUAAGCGUAUAGCUUUUCCCCUUCAAACUAUAUCCAAGAUCGCCAUGGAAGAA